UACGUAGGGUGCGAGCGUUAAUCGGAAUUACUGGGCGUAAAGCGUGCGCAGGCGGUGAUGUAAGACAGGUGUGAAAUCCCCGGGCUUAACCUGGGAACUGCAUUUGUGACUGCAUCGCUGGAGUGCGGCAGAGGGGGAUGGAAUUCCACGUGUAGCAGUGAAAUGCGUAGAGAUGUGGAGGAAUACCGAUGGCGAAGGCAGCCCCCUGGUCAGAUACUGACGCUGAGGCACGAAAGCGUGGGGAGCAAACAGG
rnacentral:rRNA from 1 species